GACGAACGCUGGCGGCGUGCUUAACACAUGCAAGUCGAACGGAAAGGCCCUGCUUUUGCGGGGUGCUCGAGUGGCGAACGGGUGAGUAACACGCGAGUAACCUGCCCUUGACUUUGGGAUAACUUCAGGAAACUGGGGCUAAUACCGGAUAGGAGCUCCUGCUGCAUGGUGGGGGUUGGAAAGUUUCGGCGGUUGGGGAUGGACUCGCGGCUUAUCAGCUUGUUGGUGGGGUAGUGGCUUACCAAGGCUUUGACGGGUAGCCGGCCUGAGAGGGUGACCGGCCACAUUGGGACUGAGAGACGGCCCAGACUCCUACGGGAGGCAGCAGUGGGGAAUAUUGCACAAUGGGCCGAAGCCUGAUGCAGCAACGCCGCGUGCGGGAUGACGGCCUUCGGGUUGUAAACCGCUUUCGCCUGUGACGAAGCGUGAGUGACGGUAAUGGAUAAAGAAGCACCGGCUAACUACGUG
rnacentral:rRNA from 1 species